CUGGGCAGGAGCUCUGGGAGGUACGUGCAGAUCCAAACGAGAUUGGUUUCAGGAGCUGACUCUGUCUUUCAACAGCAGCAAAGCACGUGUUACAUCCCUUCUGGCAAAAGUUACUGCACAAUUCUAAACCAUAAUGAGGAAAACAACUCCCUCCCGUGAUUGCAACCUGUUUGUAGUGGAAAUGCUGUCAGCGUUUGCGAGAGAGAGAAUGCUGAUAUCUGACUUCACCUGGUGAAAAAGAAAUUUGCUUCGGUGCAUUGUGGCCCCCCAGAAAUGACUUAGAAAAAGUCCUCCCUCCUCACCACCUGUUUAUCAGCAUUUUUGAAGUACAGUCAUUCUGGCAGGAAUUCAGAUCUAGAAUGUAGGAACACAUUAACACCUUUUCCAGAGCCCUUUUAUCAGAGACAUUGUGUUCUCAAAUAGGUCAUAGAGACAACAGAAAAGGCAAGAAGUAACAAGAGAAUUCUGUGUAGCCAAAAGUAACUUACUGGCUGCUGCUGCUGGGGCUUGCUGCAAAAGUAAAAUCAUUUUGAUAAGAUGUUUCCUGUUUAAAUAGACAUUUGACUAUGUGUC